rnacentral:rRNA from 1 species
AGUCGAACGGUAACAGGAUGUGCUUGCACAUCGCUGACGAGUGGCGGACGGGUGAGUAAUACUUAGGGAUCUGCCUUCUGGAGGGGGAUAACCAUUGGAAACGAUGGCUAAUACCGCAUAAUGUCUACGGACCAAAGGGGGCUUCGGCUCUCACCAGAAGAGGAACCUAAGCGAGAUUAGCUAGUUGGUGAGGUAAGGGCUCACCAAGGCGACGAUCUCUAGCUGUUCUGAGAGGAAGAUCAGCCACACUGGGACUGAGACACGGCCCAGACUCCUACGGGAGGCAGCAGUGGGGAAUAUUGCACAAUGGGGGAAACCCUGAUGCAGCCAUGCCGCGUGUGUGAAGAAGGCCUUCGGGUUGUAAAGCACUUUCAGUGGGGAGGAAAGGUUAAUGGUUAAUACCCAUUAGCUGUGACGUUACCCACAGAAGAAGCACCGGCUAACUCCGUGCCAGCAGCCGCGGUAAUACGGAGGGUGCGAGCGUUAAUCGGAAUUACUGGGCGUAAAGCGCACGCAGGCGGAUUGUUAAGCUAGAGGUGAAAGCCCCGCGCUCAACGUGGGAAUUGCCUUUAGAACUGGCAGUCUAGAGUCUUGGAGAGGGGAGUGGAAUUCCAGGUGUAGCGGUGAAAUGCGUAGAUAUCUGGAGGAACAUCAGUGGCGAAGGCGGCUCCCUGGCCAAAGACUGACGCUCAUGUGCGAAAGUGUGGGUAGCGAACAGGAUUAGAUACCCUGGUAGUCCACACCGUAAACGCUGUCUACUAGCUGUUUGUGUAUUUAAUACGUGAGUAGCGUAGCUAACGCGCUAAGUAGACCGCCUGGGGAGUACGGCCGCAAGGUUAAAACUCAAAUGAAUUGACGGGGGCCCGCACAAGCGGUGGAGCAUGUGGUUUAAUUCGAUGC